rnacentral:tRNA from 1 species
AAUUAUAUAUUCAAAAAUGAUUUUAAAUUGCAAAUUUAAAGGUAUAUUAUAAAAUUAAUAUUAUAAUUU